rnacentral:SRP_RNA from 1 species
GCCAGGCAUGGUAGUGCAUGCCUGUAAUCCCAGCUACUUGAGAGGCUGAGGCAGGAGAAUCACUUGAACCUGGGAGGCAGAGGUUGCAGUGAGCCAAGAUCCAGCCACUGCAUUCCAGCCUAGGUGACAGAGUGAGACCUUGUCUUUA